UGCCAGCCGCCGCGGUAACACGGGGGGCGCAAUCGUGAUUCGGAAUUAUUGGGCGUAAAGGGCGCGCAGGCGGUCUUGUCCGUCAGGUGUGAACGCUCGGGGCUCAACCCCGGAAGUGCACUUGAAACAGCAAGACUUGAAUACGGUAGAGGAGAGAGGAAUUCCUGGUGUAGAGGUGAAAUUCGUAGAUAUCAGGAGGAACACCGAUGGCGAAGGCAUCUCUAUGGGCCGAUAUGGAAGCGGAGGCGAGAAGGCGUGGGUCGCGAACGGGAGUAGAUC
rnacentral:rRNA from 1 species